UACGGGGGGAGCAAGCGUUGUUCGGAUUUACUGGGCGUAAAGGGCGCGUAGGCGGCCUCUGCAAGUCGACUGUGAAAUCUCCGGGCUUAACCCGGAACGGUCAGCCGAUACUGCGGGGCUAGAGUGCAGAAGGGGCAACUGGAAUUCUCGGUGUAGCGGUGAAAUGCGUAGAUAUCGAGAGGAACACCUGCGGCGAAGGCGGGUUGCUGGGCUGACACUGACGCUGAGGCGCGAAAGCUAGGGGAGCGAACGGG
rnacentral:rRNA from 1 species